rnacentral:rRNA from 1 species
UACGAAGGGGGCUAGCGUUGUCCGGAAUUACUGGGUGUAAAGGGAGCGUAGGCGGGAAUGUAAGUUGAAUGUUAAAUCUAUUGGCUCAACCAAUAGCCGCGUUCAAAACUACAUUUCUUGAGUGAAGUAGAGGUUGGCGGAAUUCCUAGUGUAGCGGUGAAAUGCGUAGAUAUUAGGAGGAACACCAGUGGCGAAGGCGGCCAACUGGGCUUUUACUGACGCUGAGGCUCGAAAGCGUGGGGAGCAAACAGG